UUAAGUCCCGCAACGAGCGCAACCCCUGUCGCCAGUUGUAUUUUUCUGGCGAGACUGCCGAGAAAACCUCGGAGGAAGGAGGGGACGAUGUCAGGUCAGCGUGGCCCUUACGCCUGGGGCUACACACACGCUACAAUGGGCAGUACAACGGGUCGCGAAGCCGCGAGGUGGAGCUAAUCCCAUCAAAGCUGUCCUCAGUUCGGAUUGCAGGCUGAAACCCGCCUGCAUGAAGCCGGAGUUGCUAGUAACCGCAGGUCAGCAUUACUGCGGUGAAUACGUUCCCGGGCCUU
rnacentral:rRNA from 1 species